GAUGAACGCUGGCGGCGUGCCUAAUACAUGCAAGUCGAGCGAAUGGAUUAAGAGCUUGCUCUUAUGAAGUUAGCGGCGGACGGGUGAGUAACACGUGGGUAACCUGCCCAUAAGACUGGGAUAACUCCGGGAAGCCGGGGCUAAUACCGGAUAACCUUUUGAACCGCAUGGUUCGAAAUUGACAGGCGGCUUCGGCUGUCACUUAUGGAUGGACACGCGUCGCAUUAGCUAGUUGGUGAGGUAACGACUCACCAAGGCAACGAUGCGUAGCCGACCUGAGAGGGUGAUCGGCCACACUGGGACUGAGACACGGCCCAGACUCCUACGGGAGGCAGCAGUAGGGAAUCUUCCGCAAUGGACGAAAGUCUGACGGAGCAACGCCGCGUGAGUGAUGAAGGCUUUCGGGUCGUAAAACUCUGUUGUUAGGGAAGAACAAGUGCUAGUUGAAUAAGCUGGCACCUUGACGGUACCUAACCAGAAAGCCACGGCUAACUACGUGCCAGCCGCCGCCGUAA
rnacentral:rRNA from 1 species